rnacentral:hammerhead_ribozyme from 1 species
AUCCAGCUGACGAGUCCCGAAUAGGACGAAACGCGCGUUCUGAAU